rnacentral:misc_RNA from 1 species
GAUGAAGAACGUAGCGAAAUGCGAUACGUAAUGUGAAUUGCAGAAUUCAGUGAAUCAUCGAAUCUUUGAACGCAUAUUGCGCUCUCUGGUAUUCCGGAGAGCAUGCUUGUUUGAGUAUCAGUAAACACCUCAACUUCCAUAUCUUUUUUGAAAUGGGAGUUGGACUUGAGUGAUCCCAACGCUUUUCCUCACCGAAAAGUGGCGGGUUACUUGAAAUGCAGGUGCAGCUGGACUUUUCUCUGAGCUAUAAGCAUAUCUAUUUAGUCUGCCUAAAAAACAGAUUAUUACCUUUGCUGCAGCUAACAUAAAGGAGAUUAGUUCUUGUGCUGACUGAUGCAGGAUUCACAUAGACAGGCUUCGGCCGACUUUGUAAACUCGAUCUCAACUCAAGUAAGACUACCCGCUGAACUUAAGCAUAUCAAUAAGCGGAGGA